rnacentral:rRNA from 1 species
UUCGUAGGGGGCUAGCGUUGUCCGGAUUUAUUGGGCGUAAAGAGCGUGUAGGCGGCCAGGUAGGUCUGCUGUGAAAACUCGAGGCUCAACCUCGAGACGUCGGCGGAAACCAUCUGGCUAGAGUCCGGAAGAGGAGAGUGGAAUUCCUGGUGUAGCGGUGAAAUGCGCAGAUAUCAGGAAGAACACCCGUGGCGAAGGCGGCUCUCUGGGACGGUACUGACGCUGAGACGCGAAAGCGUGGGGAGCGAACAGG